CAUGAAGUCGGAGUUGCUAGUAAUCGCGGAUCAGAAUGCCGCGGUGAAUACGUUCCCGGGCCUUGUACACACCGCCCGUCACACCAUGAGAGUCGGGAACACCCGAAGUCCGUAGCCUAACCGCAAGGGGGCGCGGCCGAAGGUGGGUUCGAUAAUUGGGGUGAAGUCGUAACAAGGUAAC
rnacentral:rRNA from 1 species